UGUGUUGCCGUUCUUUAGGGGUGUGGAAACGUUAAGGCAAACCCAACCACUCACACACAAAACACACAGUAGUGAAAUAUUCUCAAACACUUAAACUGUCAAUCAGGAUUAAUGGUUUAUAAAAACUCCCUACAGAUCUGAGCCUCACAGACACUCUCAGAAAAGAAAAAGAGUAGCGAGGAGCGACGCGGUGGUGGUGGUGGUCAAUUUCUUCUUAGUAAGCACACUCCAACUAGCCAGUUUCCCAACCUCGCUCCCUCUACUUUGUGGAAACAGCGCAAGAAAUUUAAAAUUCAAAAGGGGAAGCUUGCUUUCAAAACCUGUAUAGACACUUUUAUUUAGUUUAAGUAAGUUUGCCUGCAAGUUUGAACACGUUUUGUCAGCAGAACUGGCACUAAUUAUUGAGCUAAUUUGCAUUUCUGCAUUACCACAGCACUGACGAAAACUGAGCUUCCCUGAAUUUGACACGGGGCAAAGUUUAUGACACACAGGGUCUGUGGGACUGUCCAGCGGAGCAAGCCACAUCUUGCAACUGUUUGUUUUCAUUCGCUUUUAAACGUUUGAACUCCGAUUUUAUUUUGUUUUUUAUCUGUUUCUGUGAAGAGACGAUUAAAUAUCAUAUAAAUGUUUUAAAAGUCGGUUUGCAGAGGAAGCGAAAUUAAGCUUCGUGGUGGCAGCCUCUCUUCUUGUCGAACGGAGUUUCUAAACGUUUUGCUUCGGGUCUCAGCAGGCUGUUUUUUGUGAAGUUUUCCCCCUCCUGAUCGUAUUGAUAUUGUUCACCCGUGGUUAAAGGAAGAUGGAUUGGAAGUCCCUGGGAUCCGCAUUGUUUUUCCCCAUUCAGAUGGUGUAUUUUCUUCUGAAAGCCGCUGUGUGCUUGCUCAUCCCGAGCAGACUGAGGGAUAUGAGCGGGGACGUGGUGCUGAUCACCGGCGGCGGAAGAGGCAUCGGUCGGCACCUGGCAAGGGAGUUCGCGAAGCAAGGAGCGAAGAAGCUGAUCCUGUGGGGCCGCACAGAGAAGUGUCUGAAGGAGACCUGCGAGGAGAUCAAGCUCAUGGGAACCGAGUGCCACUACUUCCUAUGUGAUGUGGGCAACCGGGAGGAAGUGUACCAGCAGGCCAAGGUGGUGCGAGAGAGGGUGGGUGAUGUCACCAUCCUGGUGAACAAUGCUGCAGUGGUUCAUGGGAAGUCUCUAAUGGACAGCGAUGACGACGCCCUCUUAAAAUCUCAGCAUAUUAACACACUCGGACAGUUCUGGACCACCAAAGCAUUCCUGCCGCGAAUGCUGGAGCUGCAGAACGGCCAUGUGGUGUGUAUCAACUCGGUGUUGUCUCAGUCCUCGAUCCCAGGAGCCAUCGAUUACUGCACCUCCAAGGCCUCCUCCUUUGCCUUCAUGGAGAGCCUGACCCUGGGGCUGCUGGAUUGCCCUGGCGUGUGCACCACCACUGUGCUACCCUUCCACACCAACACAGAGAUGUUCCAGGGAAUGAGAGUCAGGUUCCCUAACCUGUUCCCUCCUCUGAAACCGGAGACAGUGGCCAGGCGGACAGUGGAAGCUGUCCAAACAAACACAGCCUUGCUCUACCUGCCCUGGACAAUGCAUGCACUCGUCAUCCUCAAAAGCUUCAUGCCACAGCAAGCACUUGAAGAAAUCCACAAGUUCUCAGGAAGCUACACGUGCAUGAACACCUUUAAAGGACGGACAUAGACGAUUAAGCAAAAUACAGACUGGCAGACCGGCAGACAAUCAGAUAAACGCUGAAAAAUCUGACAUUACAAUGUGUGCUCUGCCUUAAAUCAGGCUAGCUGAAUGCCCCUGGAAACAGCAGACAUCUUGGAUGUUACUGAACAGCAGAACAUAAGAAAUGUCGUGAACAAGAAGAGGCUGUUCGGCCCAUCAUGGUUUGUUCCUUGCUUGCACACAUUCAGCCCCAGAGCAGAAUCACAUUUUUUUUUUUUUAUUAUUCUUCUCUGGGUUUUAUUCAUGCUUCGUAACUUCUGUUUUGAGAUUGAUUUUCCUCAAGUUCCAUUUGUACCCUCGAGUCCUUCUCUUUUGCUAAAAAAGUAACAUACUGGACAUUUGACCUGAUGGGUAAACUUUUGGGGGGAGAACAAAACACUUCCAGGUCAUCUCCACGGAAACCAAUAUCUGACUGAACUGCUUCCCUCAGCAACCAUCUGCAUAGCAAUUACCUACAGCUCUGGAGAACAGAAAGGUUCAGUGGGGCACCUUCCGAUCCCACGACCAAGUCAGUUUCCUCUUUUACACCCAGGAACUUGAGAGCAGAUUGCAGCGAGCUACUGGCCGCUGGAAGACAAAAGCCACCCCUACAGGUGUCUGAUUGAGGCACCUGGCCAGUAUGUUCCACUGCAGCACAAUGAGAAGAAACAGUUCCUGACCUCCUUAACCUGCAGGAGCGCCAAAGCCAAUAAAAUGCUCCCUGUGGAAUUCCCAGUGAAGACCGGCAACUUCGCACAGCUGCCCUGACUGUAUGACUCUCUGCACACCACUUGGUUGUGGUUUCAGCAGGUGAGCCACUUGGGGCCUGCAUAUAUAUAUAUAUCUGACAGGACAACUGUUAAAUGAGUGAAAACAACAAACAAAACAACAAAAGUACAAUGAUAAACAAGGCGACUGCAAGAAUGAAAUGCAAUUAGGAAGUGAUGACCAGUGAAUGCAAUUUGUCACGUUUGUUUCAAAUAAAAAUUAAGCAAAACAGAAAUCAGGUUCAGUCAAGAUAUGAAAGUAAAAACAAGUGACAUUGUUUUGUAAUUAACAGCUUUUUCUGAGUUUAAUUAGGAAAAAGAAAAGGCUCAAAAUAAGACCCGAAAACUUCAAGACCUAAACAUAAUUAUAUACAUUAUAUAUUUAUAUUGAGUUUGAAAGUUCUGCAGUGACUUACACAGUAAUUAUGUUCUAAGAAGUGCUGUUGACUGCUCUGUUUAAUUCAUUCUCUCCAUUUUUGUGUUUAUAUUUAUUACAUGUAUUUGUACAGAUCGUCAAAGUAGCACCAAAUUUAUCAGAUUAAAAAUGAUACAUUUAUGCC